rnacentral:misc_RNA from 1 species
GGGUGGAUAUAGUAAACGUCAAAAUUAUUAUGCUGGCGAGCAUUAUAAUUGUCCUUUUGGAAUAAAAAGGCGUUGACCCGCGCCGCCGGUUUCGGCAUUACGCAUUUUGCUACAUACUUAACGUCUUAGAAGAAAAGACCGAGGAAAUCAUUUUGGCAGGAAGUAGCUUACUGACAUUACUCGACGAUAUCGCCACGCUGCUGGACGAUAUUUCGGUAAUGGGCAAAUUGGCCGCGAAAAAAACCGCGGGCGUACUGGGGGACGACCUGUCGCUCAAUGCGCAGCAGGUGACCGGCGUUCGCGCUAAUCGCGAGCUGCCAGUGGUAUGGAGCGUGGCGAAAGGAUCAUUAAUCAACAAGGUUAUUCUGGUGC